rnacentral:misc_RNA from 1 species
GACGACGAACCGGAUUUCGCGCGGAUGGUUGCACAGAAUCUCGAACGUGAAAGCGAGCAGUUUACUGGAAAUUCGAGGCGAAAGCCUCGCCCUUCAGGGCGGGGAUGAAGCCGACCAACAGUAUUC